GAGCGCCAGUAUAAAAUAAGCUUUGAGAGAAACUAGAAAGUAUCUUUGCGCUUGGGGCAAUGACGCAGCUAAUGAGGUUCUAACCGAGGCGCGUCUAUUGCUGGUUGAAAACUAUUUCCAAACCCCCUCUUCGGCCUGGGCUUGACUCUGGCCGUCGAGAAUUUCUGGAAGGGCUCCCUUCGGGGUAAAGCUCUACAAUUCCCAGUGCCAAAAGAUAUUCUAUAUAAUGGAAAGACUUGUUAAAGCUUGUAUGCUCGUUGGCAAGUUGACGCGUAAUUUGGCAACCUUGAAACGGUGAUGAGCAAACUAAUUUGUUGCUUAAGUAGACCGUGGUUUUUUGUUUGUCCCUGACGCCGGUAUUAUGAUCCGACGGUCGUCAUCUUUUCUGUUUAGCAUUCAGUAAAAAAUAGGGAGAAAUUUUUCGACAAAAGUAGGAACUUCCAUACUAAAUCCUUCUGUUUCUUGGAUACCACCAUAUGGCCCAUAUCUCCUUAUUCGGCGAGAUCCGUGAAUUCUAGAUGGAUUGGCAAGGUCAGAAGCCGGCGGAGUACUUGAUGCAGACUAUACUGCUAGUACUCUCCGUGGUGGCUUUCUCUGCUGGCUAUGUAAUGGGAUCGUUUCAAACAGUGAUCCAAAUUUACUCUGGAGAAGUGGUUCUCGCUCCAUCGGUUACGGUCCCCAAUUUGCCCUGGUUUAGCCACCCACUUCAGUGGUUAGACCCUAUGGAAGCCUAGAAGCAUCCCAACCGUCAGAUUCAGCCUGUAAAUUCGAAGAAGAUAUCUGCUAAAAUGUAGGUCCUUUAUUUGCUAAAAUGUAGGUCCUUUAUUUGAAGUCUUAGCGUUUACUAGGGAUUUUUUUUUUAGUUACACAAUGAAAAGGAAAGGAUUGUUAUGGAUUUGAAUGCUAAAAUGAAGUUGUUUGCUGUAAAUUUUGAAGCUUUAGACCUGGGUAAACGUUUUAUCA